rnacentral:rRNA from 1 species
GAUGAACGCUGGCGGCGUGCCUAAUACAUGCAAGUCGAGCGAACAGAUGAGGAGCUUGCUCCUCUGACGUUAGCGGCGGACGGGUGAGUAACACGUGGAUAACCUACCUAUAAGACUGGGAUAACUUCGGGAAACCGGAGCUAAUACCGGAUAAUAUAUUGAACCGCAUGGUUCAAUAGUGAAAGACGUUUUGCUGUCACUUAUAGAUGGAUCCGCGCCGCAUUAGCUAGUUGGUAAGGUAACGGCUUACCAAGGCAACGAUGCGUAGCCGACCUGAGAGGGUGAUCGGCCACACUGGAACUGAGACACGGUCCAGACUCCUACGGGAGGCAGCAGUAGGGAAUCUUCCGCAAUGGGCGAAAGCCUGACGGAGCAACGCCGCGUGAGUGAUGAAGGUCUUCGGAUCGUAAAACUCUGUUAUUAGGGAAGAACAAAUGUGUAAGUAACUAUGCACGUCUUGACGGUACCUAAUCAGAAAGCCACGGCUAACUACGUG